rnacentral:tRNA from 1 species
AGGCGCGUAGCUCAGUUGGGUAGAGCACCACCUUGACAUGGUGGGGGGCGUUGGUGCGAAUCCAAUCGCGCCUA